rnacentral:rRNA from 1 species
AAGUCGUAACAAGGUUUCCGUAGGUGAACCUGCGGAAGGAUCAUUAAUGAGUUAGGGUCCUCCAGGCCCGACCUCCAACCCUUUGUUUAACUACCAUGUUGCUUUGGCGGGCCCGUCUUUAACCGGACCGUCGGGGGUUUUAAACCCUGGCCAGUGCCCGUCAGUAGCCUACCACAAAUACUUUUUAACCAUGUUAUAUCUGAAAAUAGUUAAAAUAAACUAAAACUUUCAACAACGGAUCUCUUGGUUCUGGCAUCGAUGAAGAACGCAGCGAAAUGCGAUAAGUAAUGCGAAUUGCAGAAUUCAGUGAGUCAUCGAAUCUUUGAACGCACAUUGCGCCCUUUAGUAUUCUGAAGGGCAUGCCUGUUCGAGCGUCAUUAUCACUAAUCAAGCCUGGCUUGCUGUUGGGUCUCUUUGUCGUUCAAACCGACAGGCCCUAAAGAUAACGACGGCGUUAUUUGGACCCUAGAUGCAACGAGCUUUCAUUAGCACGCGUUUAGUCGGACCUUUUAACCCGGUCUUUUUAACCAAUUUUCUUAAGGUUGACCUCGGAUCAGGUAGGAAUACCCGCUGAACUUAAGCAUAUCAAUAAGCGGAGGAAAAGAAACCAACAGGGAUUACCUCAGUAACGGCGAGUGAAGCGGUAAUAGCUCAAAUUUGAAAUCUGGCUCUUUCAGGGUCCGAGUUGUAAUUUGUAGAGGAUGUUUCGGGCACGGCUACGGUUUAAAUUUCUUGGAACAGAAUGUCAUAGAGGGUGAGAGUCCCGUCUUGAACCGAUUGCUUCGUCCAUGUGAAACUCCUUCGACGAGUCGAGUUGUUUGGGAAUGCAGCUCAAAAUGGGUGGUAAAUUUCAUCUAAAGCUAAAUAUUGGCCAGAGACCGAUAGCGCACAAGUAGAGUGAUCGAAAGAUGAAAAGCACUUUGAAAAGAGAGUUAAACAGUAUGUGAAAUUGUUGAAAGGGAAGCGCUUGUAAUCAGACUUGAGCUUAACAGUUCCCCCUUCGUUCUCGUUGGGUUAUUCUGUUUUGUCCAGGCCAACAUCAGUUCGAGUGGUUGGUUAAAGACUUUGGGAAUGUAUCUACCCUCCGGGGUCGACUUAUAGCCCAGAGUGUCAUGCAGCCUACUUGGACUGAGGAACGCGCUUCGGCUCGGAUGUUGGCGUAAUGGUUAUAAGCGACC